rnacentral:rRNA from 1 species
GUUGACCUCGGAUCAGGUAGGAUUACCCGCUGAACUUAAGCAUAUCAAUAAGCGGAGGAAAAGAAACCAACAGGGAUUGCCCCAGUAACGGCGAGUGAAGCGGCAACAGCUCAAAUUUGAAAUCUGGCCCUCGGGUCCGAGUUGUAAUUUGGAGAGGAUGCUUUUGGCGC